rnacentral:tRNA from 1 species
GGCCAAGUAGGCGGACAGUUCCUCGGCCUCCCGCGUCGAGGACUGCGGUUCGCCUCCGUUCUGGCUC